CACGUAGGCGGAUUGUUAAGUCAGGGGUGAAAUCCUGGAGCUCAACUCCAGAACUGCCUUUGAUACUGGCAAUCUCGAGUCCGGAAGAGGUAAGUGGAACUCCUAGUGUAGAGGUGGAAUUCGUAGAUAUUAGGAAGAACACCAGUGGCGAAGGCGGCUUACUGGUCCGGUACUGACGCUGAGGUGCGAAAGCGUGGGGAGCAAACA
rnacentral:rRNA from 1 species